GGAAAAAGAGGAGUGGCGAACGGGUGAGUAACACGUGGGUAACCUGCCCAUCAGAAGGGGAUAACACUUGGAAACAGGUGCUAAUACCGUAUAACAAUCAAAACCGCAUGGUUUUGAUUUGAAAGGCGCUUUCGGGUGUCGCUGAUGGAUGGACCCGCGGUGCAUUAGCUAGUUGGUGAGGUAACGGCUCACCAAGGCCACGAUGCAUAGCCGACCUGAGAGGGUGAUCGGCCACAUUGGGACUGAGACACGGCCCAAACUCCUACGGGAGGCAGCAGUAGGGAAUCUUCGGCAAUGGACGAAAGUCUGACCGAGCAACGCCGCGUGAGUGAAGAAGGUUUUCGGAUCGUAAAACUCUGUUGUUAGAGAAGAACAAGGAUGAGAGUAACUGUUCAUCCCUUGACGGUAUCUAACCAGAAAGCCACGGCUAACUACGUGCCAGCAGCCGCGGUAAUACGUAGGUGGCAAGCGUUGUCCGGAUUUAUUGGGCGUAAAGCGAGCGCAGGCGGUUUCUUAAGUCUGAUGUGAAAGCCCCCGGCUCAACCGGGGAGGGUCAUUGGAAACUGGGAGACUUGAGUGCAGAAGAGGAGAGUGGAAUUCCAUGUGUAGCGGUGAAAUGCGUAGAUAUAUGGAGG
rnacentral:rRNA from 1 species